rnacentral:lncRNA from 1 species
GACUCUUAACACGGUAUCCUCGCUAGUUGGUUUUAAGGGAAACACUCUGCUCCUGGGUGUGAGCAGAGGCUCUGGUCUUGCCCUGUGGUUUGACUCUCCUUAGAACCACCGCCCACCAGAAACAUAAAGGAUUAAAAUCACACUAAUAACCCCUGGAUGGUCAAUCUGAUAAUAGGAUCAGAUUUACGUCUACCCUAAUUCUUAACAUUGCAGCUUUCUCUCCAUCUGCAGAUUAUUCCCAGUCUCCCAGUAACACGUUUCUACCCAGAUCCUUUUUCAUUUCCUUAAGUUUUGAUCUCCGUCUUCCUGAUGAAGCAGGCAGAGCUCAGAGGAUCUUGGCAUCACCCACCAAAGUUAGCUGAAAGCAGGGCACUCCUGGAUAAAGCAGCUUCACUCAACUCUGGGGAAUGCUACCAUUUUUUUUCCAAAGUAGAAAGGAAGCACUUCUGAGCCAGUGACCACUGAAAGCUUGGUGUUCCAUGGCCCCUAGGCGAGGUGAUCAGGGAGUGGGGCCAAUGGGCCCCCGGCCCUGGCUUUGGGACCUUGUGCUGAGGGAUGAUUUGCUCCUGACCUUGAUUAACUUAACAGUUCCCAGCUGGAAGGGACACUUUCAGGACCCAGUCCACUGUAUGGCAUUUGUGAUGCAGAAUUAUGCACUGACAUGACCCUGGGUGACAGGAAAGCCUUUCGAGAGGCCCAAGGUGGCCUCGCCAGCCCUGCAGUAUUGAUGUGCAGUAUUGCACCACAGCUCUGCGGACCUUGGCCAUUGCCGCAGUCGCAGCUUCCUUUUUUCUGUUUGCACUGUUUGUUUGUAUGAUGUUAGCUAAUUCCACUGUGUAUAUAAAUUGUAUUUUUUUUAAUUUGUAAAAUGCUAUUUUUAUUUGAACCUUUGGAACUUGGGAGUUCUCAUUGUAACCCUAACAUGUGAGAAUAAAAUGUCUUC